UCAGCUCGUGCCGUGAGGUGUCGGGUUAAGUCCCAUAACGAGCGCAACCCUACCUUUAGUUGCCAUCAGGUAAUGCUGGGGACUCUAAAGGAACUGCCUACGCAAGUAAGUGAGGAAGGCGGGGAGUGACGUCAAAUCAGCACGGCCCUUACGUCCAGGGCUACACACGUGCUACAAUGGCCGAUACAGAGGGCAGCUACCUGGUGACAGGAUGCAAAUCUACCAAAGUCGGUCUCAGUUCGGAUCGGAGUCUGCAACCCGACUCCGUGAAGUUGGAUUCGCUAGUAAUCGCGCAUCAGCCAUGGCGCGGUGAAUACGUUCCCGGGCCUU
rnacentral:rRNA from 1 species